rnacentral:lncRNA from 13 species
CUUUCGUAGCAAAGAAAUUAACUGAGGUGCUCUUUAAAAAUAGGUCUGGCUUGUUUACAGAAUUGUUACUUAUGCAGUAAAGCAGAUCUACAGAUGUUUUCUUUUUUUCUUCUAGAUAAAACUUGGAUUGUUUGAAAAGUGGGGAGAUAUUUCACCACAGUACAAAAGGAGAUACAGAAGAGGAGAGCAGAAUGAGAGCUUUGCAAGUGCCACAUGCCUGCAGCCUGCUGUCUUUAGUGAUGCUGCUCCUUCCAGUCACUGGAACGUCAAAACAAAAUAUCCCAAGACUGAAGCUUUCCUAUAAAGAGGAACCCCCUCCCCAGCCUGGCCAGAGCCGCAGCCUCCUUCAUGUGCCGCUGCCUCACUCGCUGCUGCCGUGCUGGCUCAGGAAUGUGAUCAAAGCCCGGCUAAGCAGGAAUUGUUCCGGGCCUGCUCUGUUUAAUCGCUGCCGCCGCGAGCAAAGCUGCCCCUGCUCCUUGAGGGGAGCGCUAGCUGCAGCCCGGCAGGAAAAGAGCCCAGGAAAAGCCGUGCACUUUGCAGGAGAAGCGCUGGGAGCAGAGGGGAGAGCGGGAAAAGGGAGCGAGAGCAGCUGGGCGGGCGGGGCGGCAUCAGCACUGAUCCCUCCGCGGGCAGGAGCGCAUCACAAAUAGUCCCUCCGGCAGAUCACUCUGCGGGCGGGCGCCAUCACCGCUAAUACAAGUAUUUAUAAAUUCAAAAGAACUCAUUAACACAGAAGAAAGCAAGUAUGCUUCAUGCUGGGUGGGAAACAUAGGGUCUAAGGGAUAAGAAUUUUAAAGUUUUUUUUUUUUUUUUUUUUUUUUUUUUAUGAGAGAACUACAUACCCCAUGGCACCCACAGAGUUCAGGACGGGUAGAGAGGAUGAAACAAACUUUAAAGAGAACCUUAACUGAAUUAGUAAUUGAAACUCAAAUGUCAUGGGGUAUGUAGUUCUCUCAUAAAAUUAAAAAAAAAUUAAUAUAA